GUCUACAGCCAUGCCACCCUGAACAAGCCUGAUGUCUGAUGUCAGAAGCUAAGCAAGGUCAGGCCUGGUUAGGACUUGGAUGGGAGAUCACUUAGGAAGACCAGGUGCUGUAGGCA
rfam:Pteropus alecto contig79767, whole genome shotgun sequence.